AGUAGAGACGGGGUUUCACUGUGUUAGCCAGGAUGGUCUCGAUCUCCUGACCUUGUGAUCCGCCUGCCUCGGCCUCCCAGAGUGCUGGGAUUACAGGCAUGAGCCACUGCGCCUGGCGCUUUUCACAUUUCUUAUGCUAACUUGAUAUAUUUCUGACGUGAGAAAAAAUUUUAAAUGGUCCAUUUUCAAGGCAUGAUAAAUCUAAGUACUGGCAGC
rnacentral:lncRNA from 1 species